rnacentral:misc_RNA from 1 species
GAAGAAAAUGGAGAAGCAGCAAAGUGAAGUUGUGUUGUAUGGGACAUGGGCUAGUGCCUACUGCACGAGGGUGCGGUUGGCCCUUAAACUCAAGGGCAUAACCUAUGAGUACGUGGAGGAGGAUCUAACCAACAAAAGCGAGUCCCUACUUCACUACAACCCUGUCCACAAGAAGGUGCCUGUUUUGGUGCACAAAGGGAAGCCCGUGGCUGAAUCGCUUGUCAUUCUCGAGUAUAUUGACGAUUGCUGGAACAAUUCCCCCAAACUAUUGCCCGAGGAUCCUUACCAAAGAGCCAAAGUUCGUUUUUGGGCCAAUUUUUAUGAUCAGAAGAUCUUCCCAAGCUCACACGCUGUCGCCUUGUCCAAGG